AAUUGGUGAAACAUCAUCGUUGUGAAAUAUUGGUAAAAAUUGUUCUUUAACCUAUAAAAAGAGUGAAUACUAAGUAAUUAAUCGGCCAACUCGUGGCUUAUCAUUCAUCAAGGUCGGUAGGAACAUUAUCUAGGAGUUUACAAGAGAUAAAGCGAGCAUGAAAGAGAAGAAAGUACGAGGAAAACAGAGCAAAAGGGAAGAGACGAUCUUACUGCUGCCAUUUUCCAUGCUUAACCUGGGGAUUAGUGCUCCCCGUUCCACCUUCCCUCCAUCCGAGGAACUCAAAGGCUUCCCGGUGUGGCUGCAGAGAGAGAGUGUGUCCCAAGGCGAAGAGCAGAAAGAUCAUAUUAUUGUUAGGAAUUUUAAAAUAGCACGUUCAUGACUCUUCUGAUAACUAUUUUUCUGUAGAUUAGCGC
rnacentral:lncRNA from 1 species